rnacentral:rRNA from 1 species
AAUCAACGCUGGCGGCGUGCCUAACACAUGCAAGUCGAACGAGAAAGUGGAGCAAUCCAUGAGUAAAGUGGCGACCGGGUGAGUAACACGUGACUAACCUACCUUCGAGUGGGGGAUAACCUCGGGAAACCGGGCUAAUACCGCAUAACAUCUUUGGAGUGGAAAUUUCGGAGAUCAAAGGAGCAAUUCGCUGGAAGAGGGGGUCGCGGCUGAUUAGCUAGUUGGCGGGGUAACGGCCCACCAAGGCUAGAUCGGUAGCCGGCCUGAGAGGGCGCACGGCCACACUGGAACUGAAACACGGUCCAGACUCCUACGGGAGGCAGCAGUGGGGAAUUUUGCGCAAUGGGGGAAACCCUGACGCAGCAACGCCGCGUGGAGGAUGAAGUCCCUUGGGACGUAAACUCCUUUCGACCCGGACGAUAAUGACGGUACGGGUGGAAGAAGCCCCGGCUAACUUCGUGCCAGCAGCCGCAGUAAG